rnacentral:rRNA from 1 species
UGAACACUUCACUCUGAUGUUAGAUUAACUAUUGCUACCAAAUUUCAUAUGGUAACCCACAUGCUUUGUGAAAGACACCUUUAUAUAAAUUUGUUAUACACAAACUUCCCAUAAAGAUCUAGAGGUUCCCAACCUCAACAACCCUCACAACCCAAUGAAUUACAUUGCAUAAAGCUAGGAAACUAGGCAACAGGGAUAGCAACCCAAAAUGACCAAAGAAGGUGCCAGCAGUCGCGGUUAAACCUCAAUUCACAGCUAAUCUAUAACCAUAAUCCAAAGUACCUACAAAUUCUGAUUACUAACAUACAAGGAUAAAGGUAAAAUUUAAACCAGCAAGCAUAUCCUAAUAAAUCUUAAAGGUAGCUUUAACAAACCACAACUACAAAACACGGAUUAGAUACCCAUCUAUUGAGUGGCCCAACAAACCAAACUCUAAAAACGAAAGUUUCAAAAUUAAAUAGUGUGGCGGUGUUCUACACCUUAUCAGGGGAUCCUGUAGCUUAAUUCGAUAACCCACGAACACCCUAGCCCUGUUAGUACACAGCUUAUGUAUGGCCGUUUUAAGUCUGCAUAUCAAUAACAAAAAAGGAGGCAACCAAAAAAUCUUAAUAACACAGGUGACAUAUAGCCAAUACAGAGCAGCUUAUGGGAUACAAAUGAUCAAACCAUCAGAAAAAGGAUUAACAACCUUUCAAAAGGAGGACUUGAAAGUAAGGCCAUCAACAUUAUUGUAGCCUGAACAAGAACUAGAAUGCGCACAAAUCGCCCGUCACUCCCGGCGACGCUAAGCGGGGAUAAGUCGUAACACAGUAGGAGUAGCGGAAGCUGCCCCUAUACA